rnacentral:misc_RNA from 1 species
CAAAAUGGAAGAUUUAUUUAUAAAAGCUGCAAUGGCAGGAUUAUAUAGGCAAAAAUCCAACAGGCAUAAUGAAAUUGAGAAUUGAAUAUCAAUGUGGAUAAUACUAUUAAGAAUGCAAACAAAUGGCGCUACUACUCUUCACUUUAUUUAUGUGCACACCAAAAAUAAUUGCAGAAAAAUCUUUGCCAUCUGUGAUCAGCUAAAGUCUAAACCACAAAAGAAAUGAAAAUUACAAAGAAAAGUCUCUGAAUGAAGCCAAACUUAGAAGCAGCACCCCAUGAAACUGAUGCAGAAGCCGAUCCUUGACCCCGCACCAUUCGCCCGCCAGCACCGGCUCCACCGCGGCCACCUCCACCACCUCUACCACCUCUACCGUCUGAUGCUACGAUCAAAGCAAUGAAUGUGACCAAAAGAAGUACCUUGGCAACGCUGCUUGAUGGGAGAUUCUUCAUGUUUAAUUAUAUUCAAGAAAGAAAGAAAGAUUUGCUCUUGUUUACCCUUUUCUUUGGACUAACAGAAGAAUAACAUGACAAUUUAGUCUAUUUAAAGAGAAAAACGAAGAAAGAUAUUUAUAAGAAGAAGGAGGAGGAGGUGGUGGCGCCCGUCAGAGGAAGCGAAGGGGAAUUUUGCGGCAAACUGCUGAGAAGGUGGUGGCGCCGUGUCCUCGUGUUUCUGUUUGUACCACGAGAUACAAAGCGUCGUUUCUCGCGUUAAGGUGUUGAAAACGUCAAGG